AAGUCGUAACAAGGUUUCCGUAGGUGAACCUGCGGAAGGAUCAUUAAUGAUUGGUGGCUGUUGCUGACUAGUGUUUCUAGUAUGUGCACGCCACACCUUCAAUCCCACUUACACCUGUGCACCUUCUGUAAUAGAUCUAUGUGGAUACAGAGAUGUGAAAGUUUGCGCUCUCCUACUCUGUUGAAGCAGUCUACUACGUUUUUUUACACACACACAAUAGUCAUUGAAUGUAUUUUUUAUUCUUAUGAUAAAAACAACUUUCAACAACGGAUCUCUUGGCUCUC
rnacentral:misc_RNA from 1 species